GAUGAACGCUGGCGGCGUGCCUAAUACAUGCAAGUCGAGCGAACAGACGAGGAGCUUGCUCCCCUGACGUUAGCGGCGGACGGGUGAGUAACACGUGGAUAACCUACCUAUAAGACUGGGAUAACUUCGGGAAACCGGAGCUAAUACCGGAUAAUAUAUUGAACCGCAUGGUUCAAUAGUGAAAGACGGUUUUGCCGUCACUUUUAGAUGGAUCCGCGCCGGAUUAGCUAGUUGGUAAGGUAACGGCUUACCAAGGCAACGAUGCGUAGCCGACCUGAGAGGGUGAUCGGCCACACUGGAACUGAGACACGGUCCAGACUCCUACGGGAGGCAGCAGUGGGGAAUCUUGCGCAAUGGGCGAAAGCCUGACGGAGCAACGCCGCGUGAGUGAAGAAGGUCUUCGGAUCGUAAAGCUCUGUUAUUAGGAAAGAACAAAUGUGUAAGUAACUAUGCACGUCUUGACGGUACCUAAUCAGAAAGCAACGGCUAACUACGUG
rnacentral:rRNA from 1 species